GACAGAGGGUGCGAACGUUGUUCGGAAUUACUGGGCGUAAAGCGCAUGUAGGCGGCAGCGCAAGUCGGGCGUGAAAUCCCACGGCUCAACCGUGGAAGUGCACUCGAAACUGCGCAGCUAGAGUCCUGGAGAGGAAGGUGGAAUGCUUGGUGUAGAGGUGAAAUUCGUAGAUAUCAAGCGGAACACCGGUGGCGAAGGCGGCCUUCUGGACAGUGACUGACGCUGAGAUGCGAAAGCGUGGGGAGCAAACAGG
rnacentral:rRNA from 2 species